GGGGAAUUAGCUCAAGUGGUAGAGCGCUCGCUUAGCAUGUGAGAGGCAGUGGGAUUGAUGCCCCCAUUCUCCA
rfam:Pelodiscus sinensis unplaced genomic scaffold scaffold5107, whole genome shotgun sequence.